GCUUGGCUAGCCGGCCAGAACGCCAGGAGGCCCGGGCCGCUCACCCCUCGAGGGGCUCGUGGGCUCGGCCUGUGGAACCUGCUUGUCCCGCCUGCAGCGCCCCGGAGGUUUCUGGGAGUGCCCGCCCGCCCGCGCUCAGUGCGCAGGCGUCAGACGCUCAGGGCCUGCGAGAGCGAGCUGAGUGGUCCCAGGGUCUACCCCUGGCAGGAGAGAGGGUGGGACCCGCCGGCCAGGCAGGUGCGGGGGAGGAGCUGGGGCCGGUGCGGGGACCCGCCGGAACCUCGGAUUUGCAGAGGACCCUGUGUGUGCCCUCCCAGGCCCUUGGGGUGUGUGUGACAAUGGGAGAUGCCAGGUGGACUGAGAGUCUUUCCGUGGCCGGGUGUGUAUGGUUGUGUUUCUGCCUGUGUGUGAUUCUUCCUGCUGUGGGGUGUGAGGUGAUUUGUACUUUAAGCUGCGUAGUAAUGGGAUUUUAUAACUGUGUAGAAUCGUCUAACAGAGUAAGACGAUUUUACACAGAUCUCUAUUGUGGUUUGCUUAUGAAGGGUAUCUGUAUGUAUAUCUGCUUUUUUGUGUGUGGCCGUAAUUGAGUAACUGGUGAUCUGUGUUAUAUAAACGUGCUUUCUUUGUGCUUGUAUUUCAGUGUCUGUAAGGGUGCCAAGAGCAAAUGAGCUGUGUGUGAUCGUGUGUGACAGUGAAAAUACUAUGGCCAAGUUAUUUCUUCCUUAAAUAGUAAUGUAAUAAUCUGGAAAAGAUAAUCAAUUUAUCUGACAAGUAAUUUAGACAUCAUUUUUCUAUUGGAUCAAAUAUAUGUGUUAUCGGGAAGAAUCCAAAAUUAACGUAGUUUUUUCUUUGUUUUUAGAAAGAUUAUUUCAAAACCAGUCCUAGGGUAACUGCCUUUUCCUCUGCCACAGCAGGCCAAAAGUAGAUAUCCAUUAUUUUCUAAUUAGAGGGUAAAGUUUCUCUUAUUACUGGGUACGGUUGAGAGGCCAUCAACUAAUAAAAUAAUAAAACAACGUUAUACAUAAGAAGAGUGAAUUUUAGCACAGUACAGCACUAGUCAGAUUUCCCAAAUUCUAGGUCAAACACUUGUCCUCAUUUUCUGAUGAGAAAACCUUGGCCGGCAGAAAGUAACUUAAGGCUGUAGAGUUUGUUGGUAAACCUGAACUUAUUUUUACUUACUUCAAGACCUCUUGGCCUUUUAUGAUUUUUGAAUAAUCAAAAACUUGUGAACUUCCAGCACAGAGAAGAUAGAGUAUAAUUUCACCACUCCUUCAGAGGGAAAAAAAUUAAUAAAACUUGGUCUUGCAAGACCAUAUAUCAAAUACAUUGAUCUCUUACCGGUAAUGUGACUGGAAUAGCAAAUUUGGUGAUCAGAAUUCUUGAGGGAAUGAACCUGUGUGUGUGAUCAGGCAUAGCUAUGUGAAAUAUAGAUAAUUAAAUUGCACUGAGUUAGAGUGGGUCAAAGUCAGGCAAGAAUUAUGUCCAAUUCACAUGCACACGUAUGUUUAUUGCGGCACUAUUCACGAUAGCAAAGACUUGGAACCAACCCAAAUGUCCAUCAAUGAUAGACUGGAUUAAGAAAAUGUGGCACAUAUACAUCAUGGAAUACUAUGCAGCCAUAAAAAAGGAUGAGUUCAUGUCCUUUAUAGGGACAUGGAUAAAGCUGGAAACCAUCAUUCUUAGCAAACUAUCGCAAGGACAGAAAACCAAACACCACAUGUUCUCACUCAUAGGUGGGAAUUGAACAAUGAGAACACUUGGACACAGGGUAAGGAACAUCACACACUGGGGCCUGUCAGGGAGUGGGGGUAGGGGGAGGGGUAGCAUUAGGAGAUAUAUCUAAUGUAAAUGAUGAGUUAACAGGUGCAGCACACCAACAUGGCACAUGUAUACAUAUGUAACAAACCUGCACGUUGUGCACAUGUACCCUAGAACUUAAAGUAUAAUAAAUAAAUAAAAAUAAAAAUAAAAAAGAAUUAUGUCCAAUUAUAUAUGGGAGAUAUAUACUGGGUUUUGUUUUUUUUUUUAGGAGGUGACAGACACAUUCUGGUUUCAAAUUGAACAGCAUGCAUUGAUCUUGAGCCGCAUCUGUGUGAUUCUGGGUCACUACUUUUGGCUUUUGAAUAGUUACGAUGAGUGCUUGCAAGAAAAAGGAAGCUAUCACUUAAAAGUAAAAAACAGUUGUUCACCUGAGAUGAAUAGAUUCCAUGUGGAUGGGCUUCUUGUAUAUUAAACUUAUGACAUUUUAUAUGUGUUGAUAUGUGAUUUUUUUAAAAAAAGUAUAGGCAGCUUUUCAGAUUCACAAAGAGGUACUUUAAGCUAAAAAAGGUUAAGACCAUCAGAAACGUAGACUGCAGGAACUGAGAAGGAUUUGUUAGAAUACUAUGUGAUAUAAUUAGUAUAAAAAUAGUAUAUAUUUUAUAGAGGGAUACACACAAAACUCCUGCUAAUGGUAACCUUUAGGGAGAGAAGAGAGGAUUUAGGGUAAAGGGGGAGAAGUAAAUGUCAAAGGGAACUUAAGCAUUAUAGGUCAUUUCUCUCCCUCUCUCUCUGUUUUUGUUUGUUUGUUUGUUUUUGUUUUUGUUUUUGUUUUGAGACAGAGUCUCACUCUGUCGCCCGGGCUGGAGUGCAGUGGUGCGCUCUCAGCUCACUGCAACCUCCGCUUCCCGGGUUCAAGUGAUUCUCCUGCCUCAGCCUCCCGAGUAGCUGGGAUUACAGGCGCCUGCCACUACGCCCAGCUAAUUUUUUGUAUUUUUAGUGGAGACAGGGUUUCACCAUUUUAGCCAGGCUGGUCUCGAACUCCUGACCUCGUGAUUUGCCCACCUUGGCCUCCCAAAGUGCUGGGAUGACAGACGUGAGCUACCGCGCCCGGCCUCUCUCUCUCUUUUAGCAAGGUAGCAUCACUCAUAUAUUUAAAAUUUAAUUUUAAAAUAUAAAAGUCAAUAGAGACGUUGGUUUUGGAGCAAGGAAGUGAGCCAAGGAACCUAAACUGUGGAAGCAGACAAAAUCCAGAAAAACUUACACCUUAGGAAGACUGCAGAGAGAAGGGAAUAGUAAGGCAACAAGUUUUCAUAGGCCUGAGGUGUCUUGUUUGUUUAUGAAAUGCCAGUUUCAUAUUUAUGUCCUUAUAACCCAUUUUGACCUUGCUGACCUUUAAGGAUUAGUUAUCUCUUCAGCCCAGUUACUGGAUUCAGCUCCGUUAUAGUGUCUGACCCUGGACAGCAUUGGUAAGUAUGUUCUCUUUCCUGGCACUGGAUUAUUUUCUUUGAGAGUCUUUGUUGAUGUUGGCAAAUGAUUUUGAACUUCUUCCAACAGAUUAGGUUUAUGCCAGUACGUAUGAGUCUAGCAUUUAAUCAGCAAUCCCAAAAAAGUAUCUGAGGCACUCUGAUAUAAUUACUUUUCCCUAAGUGUUUAUUUUGAAAAAUGUUAAAGCUACAGGAAAAUUAAAAGAAUAAUGAUUUGCACUGUGUAUCCUUUACUUAGAUUCACCAGUUUUUAACAUUUUGGACCAUUUGCUUAAUCUCUGUCUGCAUGUAUUUACAUAUUUUUGUUUAUUUUUUGUUCACCAUUUAUGGGUAAGCUGCAGAUAUUAUAUAUUUCACCAUUGAGGAUUUCAGCACGCAUCUCGAAGAACAAGGUUGUUCUCCUGCAUAACCUCGAUAUCAUGAAUAUACAUAUAAAUUUUAACAAUGAUUCAUAAUAUUAUCUAAUAUAUAGUCCACAUUUAAAUUGCCCUAGUGUUUCCCAAAUGUCUGAUAUGUGUAUUUAAAAUAUCCAUCCUGGUCCCAAUUAAGGUCACACAUUACAGUAGGUGGGCCUAUCUUUUUAAUUUCUUUAAUCUAGAACAGCAUUCCCCCAGCCUGUUUUUGUAUUUCAUGACAUUUUUUAAGAGUUGAAGGGUCCAGAAUAUUUGUCUUGUAGAAUGCCUAACAUUCUGGAUUUGUUUGAUUGCUCUGUCAUAAUUAGGUUAAGUUUAAAUAUAUUUGGCAAGAAAACUAUGAAUGCUGGUGUGUUCUUCCUAUUGCAUCAUAUUAAGUGACACAUAAUUUCAGUUUGAUCCAUUACCAAUGAUACUAAAUUUUAUUACUUUGGUUCAAGGAGAUGUGCACCUGAUUUCUUCAUGGUAAAAAAAUACCUUUUUUUCUUUGAGGCUAAGAAGUAAUCUGAUGGGGAUAUUUUGAAACCAUUUCCCAAAUAGCCUUUUACCUGAUGGUUUUAAUAAUCAUUAAUGAUUCUUGUCUAAAUCAGUUAUUAAGUUAGGAGUUGCAAAAUGGUGAUUUUUAAUUUUACCAUUCCUUCUUGUAUAUAAAAGAGCUUUGCCUUUCCACCCUUUCCCUCUAUACCUCUUUAUUUUUUCUCUUUUGAAUAUCACUAUGGCUCAUGGAUUUUUAUUUUUUGUCCAAAGUACUUUAGCCUGUUAUCAUCCUCUGUGUUGCUCAAAUUGUUCCAAAUUGGCCUGUAAGAACCCCUGACGCUGGUGCCCGUGUCCCCAUUUGUCUUUGAGCACUUCCUUACUUUUUGACACAGGUAUUUCUUUUUUUUCCUUUUUCUUUCUUUCUUUUCUUUUCUUUUUUUUUUUUUUUCUUUUUUCAGGCAGAGUCUCGCUCUGUCGCCAAGACUGCAGUACAGUGGCAUGAUCUCGGCUCGGCUCACUGCAACCUCCACCUCCCGGGUCAGGCAGUUCUCCUGUCUCAGCCUCCCAAGUAGCUGGGAUUAGAGGCACCUGUCACCAUGCCCGGCUAAUUUUUUUAUAUUUUUAGUAGAGACAGGGUUUCACCAUGUUGGCCAGGCUGGCCUCAAACUCCUGAUCUCAAGUGAUCCACCCGCCUAGGCCUCCCAAAGUGUUGGGAUUACAGGUGUGAACCACCACGCCCAACCUGGCACAGAUAUUUCGUACUUAUAUUGUGCAUUCCCUGUCCCAGACUUGGAAUUAGCCACUUUGUGAGGAGAAUUUUUGAGAUGAUCUUUUCAAUGUAUAUUCUCAACAAAGAAAUAGUUAAGUAAUUUAUAGUACACAGGGAGCAGAAUGUUAUGCAUCCAAUAAACUUAGGAUUAUAAAUUUUAAAUUAACAAAAUGAAUCUUAAAAUUUUACGCAGUAUUAUGUCAGUGACAUUUUUCUUUUUUAAAGAGAUGGGGUCUCGCUCUGUCACCCAGGCUGGAGUGCAGUGGUGUAAUCAUGGCUCAUGGUAACCUUGAACUCCUAGGGUCAAGUCAACCUCCCUCAGCCUCCCAAAGUACUGGGAUUAUAAGCAUGAGCCACCCUGGCCAGCCCUAGGAAAAGAAAACUUUUAAAACCACCAGUGGUAUCACAAUCAAAAGAUAAACACAUAUCUUUUCAAAUGCCAUUAAAUAUUUGUACAGUCAUAUCAAAAACAUCACUUACUACAUACUAUUUUGUAAUCUGUUUUUUUCAUGUUUUAAAACAAAAUAUUGCAAUAAAAUGCAUAUACCUUUUAAAUGUUCAUAAUAUUUAAAAAGACAUCAUUAGUAUUUUGAAAUAAUGACAGAAAACAUUUUGAAUAUUACAAAAUUAAAAUUUGUUAAUAUGAUGUAUUUUAAUUGGAACAUAUUAAAGAUUACAUAGUGUCUAUUGAUCAUCAUAAUCCUUUUUAACCAUUCUACUGUUGUUGGAUUGAGAAUCCUGAAAUAUAUAUGAAUAGUUCCUCAUUCACAAUGGCCAUCUAUGUCAUGAAUCUUGACCCUGGCUUUGUGUGAUUAACAAUUUUUCAUUGCAGUGGCCAGUGACCUUCAAGACUUUUCCUAAAAGGAGUAGAGAUAACUGAAUUCAGAGAGAUUAUUUACAGAUUUUAUAUUGGAAACUAGAAGAAUCUAUCUGGCUAGGGAAGGACAUCUUCUCCCCCAAAUUAAAAUUUACAAUCUGGAGUAUCUUCUUCCUUUGUGAAUCCUGUGGAUUCUGUGUGCUUGCCUGAAUUUUUGUCCCUUGUUCUCAGAAAAUAAUUAGAGCUUUGCAGAAUCGUGUGGAGGCAACUCUGAUUGUAGCUUUCUUUAGCCCUUCCUAGGAUGGCCUUGCUUCCCUGACAACCAUGGAAAUGGGUCUUAAUUCCACAGCCAGAGUCUGACCAAUUUCUUAUCUUUUACGAUAUGCAAGAUGGUUUCUAAGUUUUUAAGCCCAUUAUAAUUUCCUUAUCAGAUAAUGGGAAAGAAAGAUAUGGUUAAAAAAGAAAUGAAAGAGUCUUGGUGAGGGAGGAAGAAUCAGGUAGAAUGAAACCGUUGGUUUUUCAAGCCCAGUUUUUCAGUCAACAGAAAUCAUAUUUUACAAUGUUAUUCGAGUAUUUGCCUUAGAGGCUCCAGUCCAUUGGAGGAAAUUGAGUCUACUUUAUUAUGACCUACCAAAAGAAUUUAACCUUCACCCUGUCUUUUAAUUAAAUUCGUAUGUUUCAAAGAUAGUUUCUAUUAAAUAUAGAGUAGAUACAAAAUAAUAUUUAUGAAGUAUAUGUAUUUUUUUAAUUCUCAAUACAGCAAAAACCUGUGUACCAACUACCUUUUUUAAGAAAGAAAAUAUUUAUUUUUUUGAGAUGGAGUCUCACUCUGUUGCCCAGGCUGGAGUGCAGUGGCAGGAUCUCAGCUCACUGCAACCUCCGCCUCUUGGGUUCAAGCGAUUCUCCUGCCUCAGCCUCCCGAGUAGCUGGGACUACAGGUGCGCACCACCAUGCCCAGCUAAUUUUUGUAUUUUCAGUAGAGAUGGGGUUUCACCUUGUUGGCCAGGCUGGUAUCGAACUCCUGACCUCAGGUGAUCCACCUGCCUCGGCCUCCCAAAGUGUUGAGAUUACAGGCGUGAGCCACCACGCCCAGCCAAAAGAAAAUAUUAACUACUAACUUUGAAGACUCCUAGACAUCUAUUCCCAUUUCUAUCCCCUUUUCCUUCAGACAUAACAAUUAUCCUGAGAUUUAUGUUUAUAAUUCUCUUGCUUUUCUUUAUAGUUUCAGCUACUUACUCCAAAACUAUGUUGUUUAUGGAUGUUUUUGAGUUUUAUAUAACUAUUUCAUAUAUCAUUCUGUGACUCGCUUUUUUGUCAACAUUAUGUUCCUGAGAUUAAGUAGUGUAGCUAUAAUCCAUUCAUUUUUAUGGUACAGUAUUCCAUUGCUUGACUAUAUUACAGUUUUUAAAAUCCAUUCUCAGUUGAUAGAAAUGUGAGUUGCUUCAAAGUUUGAAUUUAUAGUUCUAUUACGAACAUUCUUGUACAUGUUUACUGAUGGACAUGCAGAGGCUGUUCUAGGGCAAGGGUCAUCAAACUUUCUUGUGCAAAGGGACAUAUAGGAAAUAUUUUAGGCUUUGCGGGCCAUACAGUUUCUGUCACAACUACUCAACUCUGCCAUUGUAUCAUGAAAUCACAGCCAUAGACAAUAUGUAAAAGAACGAGUGUGUUCUAGUGAAACUUUAUGCCAAGGCAGGAUCUAGCCUGUGGGCCAUAGUUUGCUAAGCCCUGUUCUAGGAUAUAUAUGAAGAAUAUAUUACUGAACACAGAGUACAUAUACCAUGCAAAUAUUCUCAACUUUACUAGGCAAUAUGCAAUAUUUUCCAAAGGGGAUUUUCCAAUGUAUACUCUUUACUAACAUUUGAAAUGCUCAGAAUUUUAAGUUCAGGUGAUUCUGGUAGAUGUAUAUGCAGUAGAAUCUCAUUUUGGUUUUAAUUUGCAUUUCUCUGCUUACUAAUAAGGUUAAGAUUUUAAAGACUUGUUUAUUGGCCCUUCCUCUUCUGUGAAAUGCCUACUGAAACCCUUUGCUCAAUUUCUUUGGGUUGUCUUUUUAUUAUUAUAGGACUUUGUAAAAAUAUUUUGGAUGUUUAUUCUGUAUCAACUAUAUGUGUUGAAAAUAUCCCAGUUUAUAGCUUGUCUUUGUUUACAAUAGGGAUCUUUUAACAAAUAGAAAUUCUCUGUUUUAAUGUCAGAUUUAUGAAUUUUUUUCUCUAUGGCUUGUACUUUCUUGCAUUUUAAGAAAUCCUUCUCUAUAUCAAAGUCAUAAAUUUAGCUUCAUAUAUUAUCUUCUUAAAGGUUUAUAGUUUUGCCUUUCACAAUUUUUUUUAUAAAAUCUCUUAGAAUUCAUCUCUGUAGUAAGUUAAAGGAGAGAUACAAUUUCUGUGUUAUGUAUGUGUGCAUAUACCAGUUGUCCCAGAAUAUGCAAAGACCAACUUUUUCACUUAUCAGUAGUCAUAAAUUGGAUUAUUAUAUGUGUAUGGGACAUACAACACAUAUGUAUGUGUCACAUAUGUUGGGAAUUCAUUAUUCAAUUAUAUUGGUCAAUUUGUUCCCUGUGCUAUUUCCAUGCUGUAGCAGUUUUAUAAUAAUUUUUGGGAUAUAACACAAAAAUCUAUUUGAGACUUUAUUAAUCCUCUCCAUAAUAUAACUAUUUUUCUAUUUCUUGUAUUGUUUUGGUCUUUAUUAUUUCCUUGCUUUCACUUUCCUUGGAUUUAUUCUGCCAUUGUUUUCUCACAUUUUUAAGCUGGAUGCUAGAUAUUAUCAAUUUUUACACUUCUAAUAUAAACUGGUAAGGUUAUAACUUUUCCUCGAGGUCCAACUUUAGCUGCAUCCUACAGAAUUUUAUAUACAGUCAGUCUCCAACUUACAAUGGUUCUAUGAUUUUUUUAACUUUAUGAUGGUGUAAAAGCCAUAUGGAUUCAGUAGAAACGUAUUUCAAAUAUCCAUACGACAAUACUGUUUUUCACUUUUAGUUCAGUAUUCAAUAAAUUAAGACAUUCAGCACUUAAUUAUAAAAUAGGGUUUGUGUUAGAUGAUUUCAUCUAACUGGUAGGUAAUAUAAGUGUUCUGAUCAUGUUUAAAGUAGGUUAUGCUAAGCUGUCAUGCUUGGUAGGUUAGGUAAAAGCAUUUUUGACUUAAUGAUAUUUUCAACUUGUGAUGGGUUUAUUAGGGCAUAACCCCAUUGAGUCCAGGAGCAUCAGUAUAUUAAGUAGUAAUCUCAUCAUUCAGUUUUAAAUACUUUUAAAUUUCUACUAUGAUUUCUUUUAACCAUAAAUAAUUUAGAAUUAUAUUUCUUAACUAUAUAGGUCUUUCUAAUUUUCCUUUGAUGACAUAUAUCAAACAUAGCUACUUUUGUGGGCAGUGAAAGUACGGUAUAUAAAACUAGUCCUUUGAAAGUUUUCGAGAUUUGCCCGAUAGGCUAAUACGUGUCUAAGUUUUCUAAAUAUUCAGUGUGUCUUUGAUGAGAAUUUGUCUUUUGCAGCUAUUGUGUAUAAUAGUAACUGUUUUAAAAAUACAUAGCCAUUAAAUAAAGUUGUAAUUUUUGUUGAAAUCUAUAAUCUUACUGAUUGUAUCUCUUUUAUCUAUCAUUUACUAAAAGAACUAUGUAUAAUAUCUCGCCAUAUCUGUAAGGUUAUUUUUCCUUGUAGUUUCAUUAAUUUUUGGUUUAUAGUGUGUAUUUUUAGUAACUUAAGCUUGCAAUUUUUAUAUCUUCAUGGAAAAUUGAACAUUUCAUCAUGAUGCAGUUAGUGAUCACUUUAUAAUAAUGCUCUAGUCUGUUUUAUCUGACACUAAUAUCACAACACUAGCUUUCAUUUGAUU
rnacentral:lncRNA from 1 species